rnacentral:miRNA from 1 species
AAUAGAAGAUGCCCAGUUAAAUUUGAAUUUCAGAUAAACUAUAAAAUAAUUUUAAUAUAAUUAUGUACCACGAAAUAUUUGCGACAUACUUAUACUAAAAAUUUAUUUGUUUAUCUGAAAUUCAAAUUUAACUGGAGAUCCUGUAUUUU